UAGUCCACGCCCUAAACGAUGUCAACUAGCCGUUGGAGGAAUUUAAUCCUUUAGUGGCGCAGCUAACGCGUUAAGUUGACCGCCUGGGGAGUACGGCCGCAAGGUUAAAACUCAAAGGAAUUGACGGGGCCCGCACAAGCGGUGGAGCAUGUGGUUUAAUUCGAUGCAACGCGAAGAACCUUACCAGGCCUUGACAUCCUGAGAAUCCUCUAGAGAUAGAGGAGUGCCUUCGGGAAUUCAGUGACAGGUGCUGCAUGGCUGUCGUCAGCUCGUGUCGUGAGAUGUUGGGUUAAGCCCCGUAACGAGCGCAACCCUUGUCCUUAGUUGCCAGCACAUUAUGGUGGGAACUCUAAGGAGACUGCCGGUGAUAAACCGGGNGGAAGGUGGGGAUGACGUCAAGUCAUCAUGGGCCCUUACGGGCCUGGGGCUACACACGUGCUACAAUGGUCGGUACAGAGGGGUUNCCAAACCGCGAGGGUGGAGCUAAUCCCAGAAAGCCGAUCGUAGUCCGGGAUU
rnacentral:rRNA from 1 species